GAUGAACGCUGGCGGCGUGCCUAAUACAUGCAAGUCGAGCGAACAGACGAGGAGCUUGCUCCUCUGACGUUAGCGGCGGACGGGUGAGUAACACGUGGAUAACCUACCUAUAAGACUGGGAUAACUUCGGGAAACCGGAGCUAAUACCGGAUAAUAUAUUGAACCGCAUGGUUCAAUAGUGAAAGACGGUUUUGCUGUCACUUAUAGCUGGAUCCGCGCCGCAUUAGCUAGUUGGUAAGGUAACGGCUUACCAAGGCGACGAUGCGUAGCCGACCUGAGAGGGUGAUCGGCCACACUGGAACUGAGACACGGUCCAGACUCCUACGGGAGGCAGCAGUAGGGAAUAUUCCGCAAUGGGCGAAAGCCUGACGGAGCAACGCCGCGUGAGUGAUGAAGGUCUUCGGAUCGUAAAACUCUGUUAUUAGGGAAGAACAAAUGUGUAAGUAACUAUGCACGUCUUGACGGUACCUAAUCAGAAAGCCACGGCUAACUACGUG
rnacentral:rRNA from 1 species